AGUAUACUCCCUCCGUCCGGAAAUACUCGUCGGAGGAAUGGAUGUAUCUAGAUGUAUUUUAGUUCUAGAUACAUUCAUUUUUAUACAUUUCUCUGAUAAGUAUUUUCGGACGGAGGGAGUACAAU
rfam:Triticum aestivum genome assembly, contig: Triticum_aestivum_CS42_TGACv1_scaffold_593855_7BS